UACGUAGGGUGCUAGCGUUGUCCGGAUUUAUUGGGCGUAAAGGGCUCGUAGGCGGCGUGUCGCGUCGGGAGUGAAAGCCCGCUGCUUAACGGCGGGUUGGCUUCCGGUACGGGCAUCGCUGGAGUGCGGCAGGGGAGACUGGAAUUCCGGGUGGAGCGGUGAAAUGCGUAGAGAUCCGGAGGAACACCGACGGCGCAGGCAGCGUCCUGGCCGCUGCUGACACUGAGGCACGAAAGCUGGGGGAGCAAACAGG
rnacentral:rRNA from 1 species